UUUUCUCAGCGCCUCCCUAUUUGGAUCGGCGGAGUUCGAUCCAGCCUUUGUUACACGGGCCUCUAGCAAAAAUUGAAGAAAUGAAGUUGAGGAGAUCAAGCUGAAAUUUAGAUAGAAGUCCUCCUUCACCGACGAUCCACAUUGAUAGUUUAAAACUCUCAAUCUUCCAGUAGAAUCCUCUGUGAUUUCUGCUAAUAAAUCACACUGUAACAAACUUUUUGGGACUGUUUGGCAACCAGCAGGAUUCAACUCAUGAGGGAUUUACGAAAAAGUUGUUUGGCAUUUAUGUUAAAUUUUGACAAAUUGAUUGACUACAUGUUGGUUUAUCAACAUCUUCAUCAAGUACAUUAUAAGUAGUUUAUCUGAUGAAAACUGGAACAAAAAGAAUUAAUUUUGAUGUAAAAGCUGUGUAAGAUUUUUUUUUUUUUGGAACCGGCAAUAAAAACUACAGUACUGCACCAUCGUGAAUUUCAUAA